rnacentral:rRNA from 1 species
CCUACGGGUGGCAGCAGUGGGGAAUAUUGGGCAAUGGAGGAAACUCUGACCCCGCAAUGCCGCGUGAAUGAAGAAGGUCUUCGGAUUGUAAAGUUCUUUAGUCAGGGAAGAAGUCAAUGCGGGUACCUGAAGAAUAAGCUCCGGCUAACUACGUGCCAGCAGCCGCGGUAAUACGUAGGGAGCAAGCGUUGCUCGGGAUGACUGGGCGUAACGGGUGUGUAGGCGGUUGUACAAGUUAGAAGUGAAAUACCCAGGGCUUAACUCGGGUGCUGCUUCUAAAACUGUAUGACUUGAGUGCAGUAGAGGUUAGUGGAAUGCCUAGUGUAGCGGUGGAAUGCGUAGAUAUUAGGAGGAACACCAGAGGCGAAGGCGGCUAACUGGACUGCAACUGACGCUGAGGCACGAAAGUGUGGGGAGCAAACAGGAUUAGAUACCCCUGUAGUC